rnacentral:misc_RNA from 1 species
GGCGACCACGGCGGCGAAGCGUAGGAGGAAGCGCGAGCGGGCCGGGAGAACGAGCCUCGAAA